ensembl:lncRNA GLIDR glioblastoma down-regulated RNA
AUAGUACCCCAUUCCUUGCUGCAAUGUAAUUAUAUUUAAUUACAAGUGUGCCCCUGGUAGUCUUUAACUGAAGGGCACUGACUGGGUCACUGGUGAAGUUCCCCGCAGGAACUGAGUCAGACCCCAUCUCAGGGCCCUGCACAAGAUAGGUGCCUGCUCUAAGGCGUGGACCCUCGCCACAGCCCUGGCCCGUCUUGACGGGCGAGGGUUACUGUACUUGUCCCAACCGUACAGAUGAGAAAGCUGAGACUCAGGGCCAGCAACCCGGGUCCCAGCGGAGCGCCCGGCACACGCCGACACUUCAGCACCAGUGGCGGUGGCCACCACUGUGGGCGGAGAUGGCUGCGACGCGUGCGCAGAUCUCGAUCCCAAACUCCCUCCUGCCAGAAUCUGGACCCGAAUCCACCCAUUGCCCGUUUUCCGCUGCCGCUGGAGAGAAUCUCUGAGGUCCCCAGGAGAGCCUGCCUGCACGGAAGAGACGCCUCCUCGUGUCUUAGAAGUCAUGAAAAUUUCAGAAAAUGACAGGUCUUCUGAGUUCGUGAUGGGAGUUGGGCAGCAGUCGCAUACGAGCACCUGGAGAGUCCUUGCCAGUUCUUUGGGGAUGGGGAGCUCUUAAGACUGCCCUGAGACCGCCCUUUGACCUCAUUGUGGUCCUUUCUAGAUUAAAUGCUGUUUUCCAUGACCGUCUCUGUUCUUCCCAUACGGGAAUGGCAGGCAUUCAGAUCUCCAAGAAUAGAGGAUUAGGAGAGACUCCACCACCUAUGUCCUCACAGUUAAUUAUCGAUUUGUGUCAGUUGCCCAUUUUCUCACUUCCUGUUUGUGUGUCAAGGGGUAUUAAUAAAUCUUUGCCUAUUUAAAGAUAUUAGCCUUGGAUUUUCAAAUAUUGCAUAUUUUGACAUGUAAAAAUUUGUUAGUUUUAUUUUUUCAACCGAUCUGACCUGUAUAGUUGGGCUUGAGGAAGCUUCCUCAUUCUACAUGUUACUAUGGAUUUUCUAAUAUUAACACAGGGUUGUAUUUUUUCCAUAUAACUUUCUAUUGAAUUUCUUUUUCCAUAUGAUAGGUGGUGAAGGUUUAGCCCAGUAAAGCAGAGAGGUUAAGAGGUUAGAUUGGGGGCUCUGGAGCCAGACCUGUGUAGAUCUGAGUCGUGGCUCUGGCACUUGAAAGCCGUGUGACCUUGGUUAAGAUACUUAGUCCCUCUCUGCCAAAUGGAGAAAUAAGGGCACCUACCCCAUAGGGUAGUUGUGUGAUUACACAAGUUAAUACACUUCAAUCAGUAGCAAGAAAGUGAAUGUCAAGCUGUAUUUGUUCAGGCAGCCAUAUGGUAGCCCCACGUCCUUAGUAAACUGAGGUAUUGAAGUAUCUUCUUUUUCUUUCAGAAAAUAUUUGUCAAGCACCUUCUGUGUUCAAAGAACUGUUCUAGAGCUUUGCAUGCUAUGGAGGUCUAGAAAUUCACAUUAUGGUGGCAGGUGACAGACAAUACAAAGAGAUAAAGCAAUUUCAUAUAGUGAUAAGCUAGGGAGGAGUGCUAAAAGGAGCCAAGGUGUAGUGGUGACUGGAAGGUGACCAGGGAAACCACUGUAGGGUUUCUAAGUGAUGAGAUCUGUGACAAAUCCCUGUGGUCAGCAGCAGGCAUUGGAUAUGUAACUUUAUUCUGUCCCAUUGAUCUUGUAGUCAACCCUGGUCUGUUCUGUAUUGUUUUAAUUACAUAAUCUUUGUAAUAAUCUUUAAUACCU